CUGCAUGGCUGUCGUCAGCUCGUGUCGUGAGAUGUUCGGUUAAGUCCGCUAACGAGCGCAACCCUCGCUGUGUGUUACAAGUGUCACACGGAACUGCCGGUCAUAAACCGGAGGAAGGUGGGAUGACGUCAAGUCAGCAUGGCCUUUAUAUCCUGGGCUACACACACGCUACAAUGGGAAGGGACAAUAGGUUGCGAAGCCGCGAGGCGGAGCCAAUCCAGCAAAACUUCCCUCAGUUCAGAUUGCAGGCUGCAACUCGCCUGCAUGAAGUUGGAGUUGCUAGUAAACGCAGGUCAGCCAUACUGCGUUGAAUACGUUCCCGGGGCUU
rnacentral:rRNA from 1 species